rnacentral:rRNA from 1 species
AACGAACGCUGGCGGCAGGCUUAACACAUGCAAGUCGAGCGCCCCGCAAGGGGAGCGGCAGCCGGGUGAGUAACGCGUGGGAACGUACCUUUUGGUUCGGAACAACUCCGGGAAACUGGAGCUAAUACCGGAUAAGCCCUAACGGGGAAAGAUUUAUCGCCGAAAGAUCGGCCCGCGUCUGAUUAGCUAGUUGGUGAGGUAACGGCUCACCAAGGCGACGAUCAGUAGCUGGUCUGAGAGGAUGAUCAGCCACACUGGGACUGAGACACGGCCCAGACUCCUCCGGGGGGCGGCAGGGGGGAAUAUGGGACAGUGGGCGCAAGCUGGACCCAGCCAUCCGGGGUGAGUAAUAAGGCCGUAGGGGUUGAAAACCUUUUUUGUCCGGGAAGAUAAUGACUUUCCCGAAAAAAAAACCCCCGGCAAACUUCGUC